AUGUCUAAGUACAUGCCGUAUUAAGGCGAAACCGCGAAUGGCUCAUUAAAUCAGUCAUGGUUCCUUGGAUCGUACCUUACUACUUGGAUAACUGUGGCAAUUCUAGAGCUAAUACAUGCAGCAGAGCUCCGACCUUCGGGGACGAGCGCUUUUAUUAGACCAAAACCAAUCGGACCUUGUGUCCGUCUCUUGUGGUGACUCUGUAUAACUUUGGGCUGAUCGCACGGGCCUGUCCCGGCGACGUAUCUUUCAAGUGUCUGCCUUAUCAACUUUCGAUGGUAGGUUACGCGCCUACCAUGGUCGUAACGGGUAACGGGGAAUCAGGGUUCGAUUCCGGAGAGGGAGCCUGAGAAACGGCUACCACAUCCAAGGAAGGCAGCAGGCGCGCAAAUUACCCACUCCCGGAACGGGGAGGUAGUGACGAAAAAUAACAAUACGGGACUCUUUUGAGACCCCGUAAUUGGAAUGAGUACACUCUAAAUCCUUUAACGAGGAUCCAUUGGAGGGUAAGUCUGGUGCCAGCAACCGCGGUAAUUCCAGCUCCAAUAGCGUAUAUUAAAGUUGUUGCGGUUAAAAAGCUCGUAGUUGGAUCUCAGUUCCAGACGGGUGGUCCUCCUACCGGUGGCUACUGCCUGUUCUGAACAGUCAGCCGGUUUCUCUUGAUGAUCUUCACCGGUUGUCUUGGGUGACCGGCAAGUUUACUUUGAAAAAAUUAGAGUGCUCAAAGCAGGCGUGACGCCUGAAUAAUGGUGCAUGGAAUAAUGGAAUAGGACCUCGGUUCUAUUUUGUUGGUUUUCGGAACACGAGGUAAUGAUUAAGAGGGACAGACGGGGGCAUUCGUAUUGCGACGCU
rnacentral:rRNA from 1 species